UUGAUCAUGGCUCAGAUUGAACGCUGGCGGCAUGCCUUACACAUGCAAGUCGAACGGUAACAGGUCUUCGGAUGCUGACGAGUGGCGAACGGGUGAGUAAUACAUCGGAACGUGCCUAGUAGUGGGGGAUAACUACUCGAAAGAGUGGCUAAUACCGCAUGAGAUCUACGGAUGAAAGCAGGGGAUCGCAAGACCUUGUGCUACUAGAGCGGCCGAUGGCAGAUUAGGUAGUUGGUGGGAUAAAAGCUUACCAAGCCGACGAUCUGUAGCUGGUCUGAGAGGACGAUCAGCCACACUGGGACUGAGACACGGCCCAGACUCCUACGGGAGGCAGCAGUGGGGAAUUUUGGACAAUGGGCGCAAGCCUGAUCCAGCAAUGCCGCGUGCAGGAUGAAGGCCUUCGGGUUGUAAACUGCUUUUGUACGGAACGAAAAGCCCUGGGUUAAUACCCUGGGGUCAUGACGGUACCGUAAGAAUAAGCACCGGCUAACUACGUGCCAGCAGCCGCGGUAAUACGUAGGGUGCGAGCGUUAAUCGGAAUUACUGGGCGUAAAGCGUGCGCAGGCGGUUUUGUAAGACAGAGGUGAAAUCCCCGGGCUCAACCUGGGAACUGCCUUUGUGACUGCAAGGCUAGAGUACGGCAGAGG
rnacentral:rRNA from 1 species